AAAGAAUUCAAAAAUUGACGAAGAAUAUCAGAAGGCGAUCUAGGGGACAAGAAUCAAAUAAAAGGUGUGACGAUGAAGUUGAAUAACAAGACACAACAUCACAUUCACCAUCAGAAACCCAAAAUAAUGCACUAGCAUCACAACAACAUGAUGAGGAGUUCCAUGAGGAAGUGUUGCCUUCGCAGAGGCAGCCGAAUAGACGUGGGAGGACUGUAAUGAAGGAUGUUCAUGCAUUGCAUCACGAUGAUUUGCUACAUGUCACAUUUAAUGAAAGAGGCCAGCCUUAUGGUGAUUUACAACCGGUACUAGCAAAUUAUGUGGGAACAAUAGCUCGGAAUGGAGUUUUGUUAACCCUUGAUUAUUUAGACUGGCGAAAAAUUCCAAAGCAUCGGUUGGAGGAGGCAUGGAAACUUGUUAUUACACGAUUCAUAAUCUCCGAUCAACACCAAGAUUUUGUGAUGCAAAUGAUGGGAGCUACAUGGAGGCGAUGGAGGACCCAAGUUAAAGCUACGUCUUAUGACUCGAAUAUCCCAUUAAGGGACCUUGUGUCCAUUCGUCCUAUUCCUCAUGGCCUGGCUACAGAAGUCUGGGAAAGAUUAUGUGAGCACUGGAAGGUUACUGAGAAAAGUUCAAAAAUAAAUCGAGAAAAUGGAAAAAAUAAAAAAAGAACUCAUGCACAGGGACGAAUAAGUAUUGCUUCUUUGGAAGAUAAAUUUUUGAAAGACAAUGGUAGGAAGCCGACUCGCAUCGAAAUAAUGCAUUUGAUUCGAAGAAGUAAAAAAGAAAGGAGGUGCUCCAGUUGAUGCUGAAGCCAUACGCUAUGAGCAUUUGUUGGAUGAGGCUGUGCAAAUUCGCCUACAAGACAUGCCUGAGUGAACACAAGCAAUAGAAGUGCAUGAGGAUGCAUUUCGUGAUGUAUUCGGAACUGAGCAUUCUGGUCGAGUUCGAUGUCUAGGAGCAGGAGCACUGCCUAGCCAAGUCUUCCCUGAACAAUGCAAACGUAGCUCAUUCUACAAUAGGCAAAACUAUCACUCCACUACGGAUAUCAUAGAUAAAUUCAAAGCAAUGCAAGAACAAAUGAACAAAGAUAUGGAGAUGCGUGAAUCACAAUUGCGAGCAGAAAUGGAGGCGCAAAAAGCACAAUUUCAAACAAAAAUGGAGCAAAUGAGACAAAUGCAAGAUCAGUU